rnacentral:rRNA from 1 species
GACGAACGCUGGCGGCGUGCUUAACACAUGCAAGUCGAGCGGUAAGGCCCUUUCGGGGGUACACGAGCGGCGAACGGGUGAGUAACACGUGGGUGACCUGCCUCUAGCUCUGGGAUAAGCCCGGGAAACUGGGUCUAAUACUGGAUAUGACUCCAUGACGCAUGUUGUGGGGUGGAAAGCCUUGUGCGGCUAGAGAUGGGCCCGCGGCCUAUCAGCUUGUUGGUGGGGGAUGGCCUACCAAGGCGACGACGGGUAGCCGGCCUGAGAGGGCGACCGGCCACACUGGGACUGAGACACGGCCCAGACUCCUACGGGAGGCAGCAGUGGGGAAUCUUGCGCAAUGGGCGAAAGCCUGACGCAGCGACGCCGCGUGAGGGAUGACGGCCUGGUGUAAC